UUUCCUACUCAAAGAAAAUCCAAGUUAGACCCUAGGGAUUCGAGGACGAAUCUUUUUCAGGAGGGAGGGAAUGAUAUGAGCCCUAUGGAACAAACUGAGAACUGUCAUAUGCCAAUUGGUCCAAUUACAAGAGCAACAACUAAGAGAAUAAAAGAAGGUUUUGCAAACAUGGCUAAAUCAUGUGUUCAGGAGAUGCAUCAAGAAUUGGGCAAGACAAUGAUUAACCACACGUCUUACUAUUUUACAAGAUGCAUUGAAGACUCUCAUUAGUCAAGAUGAAUUAAAAGAGACAUCACUUUCUUAGAAUUUAUUCUAUGUUUAUUUUAUUUUUGUUAUUUGUUUGUUUUAGGCCCAAUUAUGAUUUGGCCCAUAUUUUAUUCUAGUGAACUUAUGAGUUAGGGAUUUAAAUUUAAGAGGUAUAAAAACCCUCUAAACCCUGGUAGCCAUUUUUUUUAAUUUUGAUGAAUGAAAUUUUUUUUGAGUUUCUUUGAGAAACUUGGGUGUGAACAGGUGAGGUAGAGUGAUUCCCUUAACUGUUGCAUCA